CCUACGGGUGGCAGCAGUGAGGAAUAUUGGACAAUGGACGAGAGCCUGAACCAGCCAAGUAGCGUGAAGGAAGACUGCCCUAUGGGUUGUAAACUUCUUUUAUAUGGGAAUAAAAUGUUACACGUGUGGGAUUUCGUAUGUACCAUAUGAAUAAGAAUAGGAUAACUCCGUGCCAGCAGCCGCGGUAAUACGGAGGAUGCGAGCGUUAUGCGGAUUUAUUGGGUGUAAAGGGAGCGUAGGUGGGUUGUUAAGUCAGUUGUGAAAUGCUCGGGCUCAACCGGAGAAGUGCAGUUGAUACUGGCAGUCUUGAGUACAGGAGAGGUGGGCGGAAUUCGUGGUGUAGCGGUGAAAUGCUUAGAUAUCACGAAGAACUCCGAUGGUGAAGGCAGCUCACUGGACUGCAACUGACGCUGAGGUUCGAAAGUGUGGGUAUCAAACAGGAUUAGAUACCCUAGUAGUC
rnacentral:rRNA from 1 species